CGACACCGCAUGGUGUUGAUUUGAAAGACGCUUUCGGGUGUCACUGAUGGAUGGACCCGCGGUGCAUUAGCUAGUUGGUGAGGUAACGGCUCACCAAGGCGAUGAUGCAUAGCCGACCUGAGAGGGUGAUCGGCCACACUGGGACUGAGACACGGCCCAGACUCCUACGGGAGGCAGAAGUAGGGAAUCUUCGGCAAUGGACGAAAGUCUGACCGAGCAACGCCGCGUGAGUGAAGAAGGUUUUCGGAUCGUAAAACUCUGUUGUUAGAGAAGAAUAAGUAGGAGAGUAACUGCUCUUACCUUGACGGUAUCUAACCAGAAAGCCACGGCUAACUACGUGCCAGCAGCCGCGGUAAUACGUAGGUGGCAAGCGUUGUCCGGAUUUAUUGGGCGUAAAGCGAGCGCAGGCGGUUUCUUAAGUCUGAUGUGAAAGCCCCCGGCUCACCCGGGGAGGGUCAUUGGAAACUGGGAGACUUGAGUGCAGAAGAGGAGAGUGGAAUUCCAUGUGUAGCGGUGAAAUGCGUARAUAUAUGGAGGAACACCAGUGGCGAAGGCGACUCUCUGGUCUGUA
rnacentral:rRNA from 1 species